AAGAUAAUGACGGUACCCGCAGAAGAAGCCCCGGCUAACUCCGUGCCAGCAGCCGCGGUAAUACGGAGGGUGCAAGCGUUGUCCGGAUUUAUUGGGUUUAAAGGGUGCGUAGGCGGAAUAUUAAGUCAGUGGUGAAAGCCCACAGCUCAACUGUGGAACUGCCAUUGAUACUGGUAUUCUUGAAUUCAGUUAAGGUAGGCGGAAUUGAUGGUGUAGCGGUGAAAUGCAUAGAUACCAUCAAGAACACCGAUUGCGAAGGCAGCUUACUGGGCUUGAAUUGACGCUGAUGCACGAAAGCGUGGGGAGCGAACAGGAUUAGAUACCCUGGUAGUCCACGCCGUAAAC
rnacentral:rRNA from 1 species